AUCACAUCCAACUUCAGCACCAUGAAAUUAAAGGGCAGCCGGUGCGAGGCUGCUGCCAUUGCGAGGUCUAAGGAUAGGCAGAUGUACACACAGCCCUGUGAAGAGACUGUUUCUUGUUUCAAACCUGCAACCUCCAUUGAGACUUAGAAGUCAGGCAGUUCGAAACACGAAACAGCUCCUCUCAUUGGUUUUGAUGAAGUUUCAAGCUAAAUGCCUGCAAGGAGAGAAGAACUUCUUUUAAUCUCUCCUUGGCCUGUUCAUCAAUCAAGUUGCCAUCACUGUCAAACUUUGCAGGAGGCUGGAAUGCGUUCAAGAAAAACUCGGGCUUGUUAAUGAAAUGAAGGUCAAGAAACACUCCAACUUGGCGAAGAUGAUAUUGCGAUCGUCCACCGCCAAAGUCGCCUCCGGCACUUACAAUUGCGGCAGCCUUAUCAGCCCAAACAUUUGGUGGUCUUGACGCCCAGUCAAUUGCAUUCUUUAGAGGUGCUGGUAUAUAUAGCGGAGGUUAAAAACUGUUUAGGCAGUUGAUGCAGAAACUUGCCAAUAAACCAAAUUAAGAUAGUGAUCAAACUCCAUAUACAGUGAAUUUGAAUUUCAAUAACAUUAAAGUCAAAAAAGCACUUCUGUUCAGUGUAUCGCAAAAGCACUUCUGUUUAGUGGAUCACAAAAGCAUUUAUGUUUUUUAGUGGAUCACAAAAGCAUCUCUGUUUUUUUUAAUGAAAGUUUUUUCGUUUUGAUAACAUGCUAACAAGUACGUUGUAUUUAUUAACGUAUUUUAACAAAACAGCAUGGCCCAUCAAGUAUUAAUAUUGAUAUGUAUAUUAUAUAUAUAAAGGCAAAGAAUGGUCAAACAAUUUUUUUUUUUUUUUUUUGGCCAACGAAGAGAGUUUUAUUAAGACGAAUAGCAAGGUUUACAUCACUAGCUAAAAUAUCAAAAAUCCACUCAAGCCACACUUGUUCCCAAACGUGGUUACCACCUACUCUAGAUACAAAGAAUGGUCAAACAUUCAAAUACGAUAAAAUGCACUUGGUUAAUAAAAAUAUUAAGAAAUGAAAUAUUCAUUAAAUAAGGAUAAUAUAGUAAAUUAACAAUUCCCAUAUUAAAAAUAAUAAAAACAAAAAACAAAAAACAAAAUAAGAACACGUCCUAAUUUCAUGAGACACACCUAGACCCAUUUUCUCUUUCUUAUAAACAAAAAACCAAAAAAUAAUAAUAAUAACCAACGGAAAAAAAACCAAUUGGAAUUAAAGAACUAAGAUUGAAAAAAAAAACCAAUUGGCACAUUAAGGAACUAAUUAUUAUCAUGUCCAUACCAUUUAUAAGAAAAUGAGUUUGGCCCCAUUAAAGAUUUUAUGUUAAGAAUUGGUUAAAGACUUCAUAUCUCAACUAUUGUUUGCAUGUAUGAUAUAUAUAUAUAAAGGACAAAAAGUAAUUUUUGGUUCCUCUAGUUUGCCGGUUUUAUCACUUUGGUCCCCGUAGUUUCGUUUUGUCAAUCUUAUGCCUGUAAUUUUAUAUUCAUAUCAAUUUAAGAACACGUACAAGCCUGGUCAAAUUUCCAAUUUUGUUACAGCUUGACCAUAACAUGGAGAGGUAUUUUUGUCCAUUCGAGCCAAAUUCCUCCCACUUCACCAAAAUUUGAAUUCAAUUAACAUAUCUAAUGAAUGCUUGAGAUUAAAACUCUUUAACUAUUCCUCCCAUUAGUCAUAUCAUGUAUCAACCAAGGGCGGCCUUAGUAUGGUGCAAGUGGUGCCACCGCACAAGGGCCCCGAAUUUUUUUAACUUUAUAUUAUAUAUAUUAAUAUUAUAAACACUCUAUAUAUACUCCAGUGUGCAACAGUUUGAUACAAGAGUGUAUUUGGUGGAGCUGAUUUCUAGCAAGGUCAUUCUAUUUGAAUUUUUCUUCUUUUUUCAUUAUAACAACAAAAUUUAAAAUAGUUUUUCAAAAAAUACAUAAGCACGUGAAAAAAUAAAUAAAUAAAACAAGGGGAAAGAUCCAACUAAACCUAUUUGAAUUUUUUUUUUUUUUUCAUUAUAACAGAAAAAAUUAAAAUAGUUUUUUUUUUUAACAUAAGCACGUGAAAGGGGGGGGGGGGGGGGGAGGGGAAGGUGGGGAAGAGAAAAGAUCCAACUAAACUAACAACAUUAUAUAUCACACCCAUACGCUUUCUCCUACAAACAAAAAAAAAGUACAUUCAAAACAAAACCAAAACAAAAAUUCAUGUCAUUCUUCUUUCUCUUGAACUUUUUUUUUUUUUUUUUUACCGAACAUACUAAUAUUUAACUUUAUCAAAUGAAAGCAUUAAAAAAUUUAUGAAUUUGAUUUGUGAUUGUUAUUACAUGCUAAUUGAUGAAUUAGCAUAACAACCAAAUUUAAAAUAGUUUUAAAAAAAAAUAAUAAGCAGGUGAAAAAAAAAAUUAAACAAGGGGAAAGAUCCAAUUAAAUUAACAACAUUAUAUAUCACACCCAUACGCUUUCUCCUAAAAACAAGAAACAAAAAAGUAUUUUCUUCCACUCAUAACAAAACCAAAAUAGAAAUUCAUGCCAUUCUUCUUUCUCUUGAACUCCUUUUUUUUUACCGAACAUAUUCGUAUUCAACUUUAUCAAAUGAAAACAUUAAAAAAAUUUAUGAAUUUGAUUUUUGAUUGUUAUUACAUGCUAAUUGAUGAAUUUUAGUUAUAAAAAAAUUAUUUUAUGAUAUUAAGUUAUGACCAAAAAAAAUUUUAAUAUUUUAAUAUUAAAUUAUGUGAAAGCUCUAGUUUAAGUUUCGUACAAAGUCCUCAAAAUCUCAGACGAACCCUGGUAUCAACACACACAAGUAGUCGCCAUAAAAACAAAAUAAAAAACACACGAGUAGUGUGUGGGUGUGUCAUCUCCUGAAAAGUAAACGAAUGUGGCAAUAUCCAUCAUUAUUACAACAUUAAUUAAAUAAUUAUCUAAUUUCCAAACGCUUUUGUGACUUUGAUCAUCAAAGGUUAGGCAGUAAGGGCAUGCAUUGUCCAAUUGCAAAUUAAUUAUAAAUAAAUAAAUAAAUAAGAGAAUAAUAAUAAAAAUUAUACCGGUGAAGGAGUAAUUGUACUCGGGAGAAGCAAAGAGGAUGCUAUCAGCUUCCAGAAUCUUCUGACGAAAAGCUUCGAUGGCAGGUGGAAAACUCCCCUCGCCUUCCAGAUCUGUAUUCAGCAGUGGCAACGGUGAGAUGUCUAUGUACUCUAUCUGCAGGCCGUUGAUCGACGUCUUGCUUAUCUCAAUCGCUACAAACCCAAAAACGACGCCAUUCAAUUGGAAGAAAAAGAAAAAAAAGAAAAAAAAUGGCGGUAAAGUAACUGACCAGAGCGAAUUAGACCACGGUUGUAGGAAGAUUUACGAAGAGACCCAGAAAGAGCUGCAACUCUUAUGAGCGAUGAUGCGGAAACGGAAGCAGCCUCCAUUUUGUUUUCUGGUUUAUCUCUAUUCUUCUUCUUCUUCUUCUUCACUAGUCUCUAAUAAGUGGAAGAAAAGAGCCAAAACUAAAGGCUUAUUGCUUUUUCAACGUGACUGUAUUUUAUUAUUGAUUUAAAGAUUAUCUAUGCAAAAUAAAUUCAAAUGUAGUCCACCACUAAAUUAAGGGUUGUCAUUAUUGUGUUCUUAAAGAAGCUUCGUAUUUUAGACGAAUUUAGCUAUUGGGCUAUAUGGGCUAUAGCCCAUGCCGAUUGUUCUUUUUUAAUUGCUUAUCUGCUUAUCUCAUUCAAAAUUGUUGGGUGCGAAUAACAUUUUACUAAAAGUAAAGAAAAUUAAAUAAGCGAUAGUUUUUUAUUGAUAAAGAAACAAAAGUACAAAGUACUGAUGUGAUGUACUAAAUAUGGAUAAAUCUUCUCUAGUGACCAAAACGCAACACAUAUUGAAUUGAUUUGGAGAGAAUCACGCACAAUCCAAAGAACUAAAAUUCGUGAUUCAGGGACUAGAAGCACGUGUACUCAAACUUACAAUAAAGAUUUGUCGUGCAACGGUAAAAAUAACAAAUCUGUAUCUAAAGCCAAAGCUAAAUACAAAUGAAACAAUCUAGAGAUAAGACAAACCACAAAAAAAACUCCUAAGAAUUUCUAGACUCAAACAAAAUAAAAAGCACAACAACCACUCCACAUCCUUCCACAUCCUUCCGAGCAAUCCGAAGAGAGACAUACUGGCUAAACCCAUAGUGCCGCACCUACUAGACCUAAACCCGACGCAUUAGUUAUGUACGAAAACAUAAUUUUACAAUUGCAUUUCAUUAGCAAAACAAUUUGAUAACAUUGGAAGUGUAUGCCAAUCCUGGAUAGCGCAUACUUUGCUGCGAUGGAUACAUUUUAUUAGCACACGUUAUGCCCAGAGAAACAUAAACACAAAUCAAAGGUCUAAAUUCCAAUUUCAGAGGCAGAAAGAAAUAAAUCAUAGCAUAAACUAUAAAGCGUCAAACUCCUGCAGUGCAAACACGGUAGAGCCUGAAUCACACAGCACCUAUAAGUCUGAGAAUCACAUACAACUUCAGCACCAUGAAAUUAAAGGGCAGCCGGUGCGAGGUCUAAGGACAGGCAGAUGUACACACAGCCCAGUGAAGAGACUGUUUCUUGUUUCAAACCUGCAACCUCCAUUGAGACUUAGAGGUCAGGCAGUUCGAAACAUGAAACAGCUCCUCUCAUUGCUUUCGGCGAAGUUUCAAGCUCAAUGCCUGCAAGGAGAGAAGAACUUCUUUUAGCCUCUCCUUAGCCUCUUCAUCAAUCAAGUUUCCAUCACUGUCAAAC
rnacentral:lncRNA from 1 species